UACGUAGGGGGCAAGCGUUAUCCGGAUUUACUGGGUGUAAAGGGGGCGCAGACGGCGAUGCAAGUCUGAAGUGAAAUCCCACGGCUCAACUGUGGAAUUGCUUUGGAAACUGUAUUGCUUGAGUGCUGGAGAGGUAAGCGGAAUUCCUGGUGUAGCGGUGAAAUGCGUAGAUAUCAGGAAGAACAUCAGUGGCGAAGGCGGCUUACUGGACAGCAACUGACGUUGAGGCCCGAAAGCGUGGGGAG
rnacentral:rRNA from 1 species